CCCUAGUAACUGCGAGUGAAGCGGGAAAAGCUCAAAUUUAAAAUCUGGCAGUCUCUGAUUGUCCGAGUUGUAAUCUAGAGAAGUGCUAUCCGCGUUGGACCAUGUAUAAGUCUUCUGGAAUGGAGCAUCAUAGAGGGUGAGAAUCCCGUCUUUGACAUGGACUACCAGUGCUUUGUGAUACGCUCUCAAAGAGUCGAGUUGUUUGGGAAUGCAGCUCAAAAUGGGUGGUAAAUUCCAUCUAAAGCUAAAUAUUGGCGAGAGACCGAUAGCGAACAAGUACCGUGAGGGAAAGAUGAAAAGAACUUUGGAAAGAGAGUUAAACAGUACGUGAAAUUGCUGAAAGGGAAACGCUUGAAGUCAGUCACGUUGGCUAGAAAUCAACCUUGCUUUUGCUGGGCGUACUUUCUAGUUAAUGGGUCAGCAUCAAUUUUGACCAUUGGAAAAAGUGUAGAGGAAUGUGGCAUCCUUGGAUGUGUUAUAGCCUUUACUCGCAUACAGUGGUUGGGAUUGAGGAAUUCAGCAUGCCGCAAGGCCGGGUCUUUGACCACGUUCAUGCUUAGGAUGCUGGCAUAAUGGCUUUAAUCGACCCGUCUUGAAACACGGACCAAGGAGUCUAACAUACCUGCAAGUGUUUGGGUGGAAAACCCAAGCGCGCAAUGAAAGUGAAAGUUGAGAUCCUUGUCAUGGGGAGCAUCGACGCCCGGACCAGACCUUUUGUGACGGAUCUGCGGUAGAGCAUGUAUGUUGGGACCC
rnacentral:rRNA from 1 species